rnacentral:rRNA from 1 species
AGAGUUUGAUCCUGGCUCAGGACGAACGCUGGCGGCGUGCUUAACACAUGCAAGUCGAGCGAUGAAGCUUCCUUCGGGGAGUGGAUUAGCGGCGGACGGGUGAGUAACACGUGGGUAACCUGCCUCAAAGUGGGGGAUAGCCUUCCGAAAGGAAGAUUAAUACCGCAUAAUAUAAGAGAAUCGCAUGAUUUUCUUAUCAAAGAUUUAUUGCUUUGAGAUGGACCCGCGGCGCAUUAGCUAGUUGGUAAGAUAACGGCUUACCAAGGCAACGAUGCGUAGCCGACCUGAGAGGGUGAUCGGCCACAUUGGAACUGAGACACGGUCCAGACUCCUACGGGAGGCAGCAGUGGGGAAUAUUGCGCAAUGGGGGAAACCCUGACGCAGCAACGCCGCGUGGGUGAUGAAGGUCUUCGGAUUGUAAAGCCCUGUUUUCUAGGACGAUAAUGACGGUACUAGAGGAGGAAGCCACGGCUAACUACGUGCCAGCAGCCGCGGUAAUACGUAGGUGGCGAGCGUUGUCCGGAUUUACUGGGCGUAAAGGGUGCGUAGGCGGAUGUUUAAGUGGGAUGUGAAAUCCCCGGGCUUAACCUGGGGGCUGCAUUCCAAACUGGAUAUCUAGAGUGCAGGAGAGGAAAGCGGAAUUCCUAGUGUAGCGGUGAAAUGCGUAGAGAUUAGGAAGAACACCAGUGGCGAAGGCGGCUUUCUGGACUGUAACUGACGCUGAGGCACGAAAGCGUGGGUAGCAAACAGGAUUAGAUACCCUGGUAGUCCACGCCGUAAACGAUGGAUACUAGGUGUAGGGGGUAUCAACUCCCCCUGUGCCGCAGUUAACACAAUAAGUAUCCCGCCUGGGGAGUACGGUCGCAAGAUUAAAACUCAAAGGAAUUGACGGGGGCCCGCACAAGCAGCGGAGCAUGUGGUUUAAUUCGAAGCAACGCGAAGAACCUUACCUGGACUUGACAUCCCUUGCAUAGCCUAGAGAUAGGUGAAGCCCUUCGGGGCAAGGAGACAGGUGGUGCAUGGUUGUCGUCAGCUCGUGUCGUGAGAUGUUAGGUUAAGUCCUGCAACGAGCGCAACCCUUGUUAUUAGUUGCUACCAUUAAGUUGAGCACUCUAAUGAGACUGCCUGGGUAACCAGGAGGAAGGUGGGGAUGACGUCAAAUCAUCAUGCCCCUUAUGUCCAGGGCUACACACGUGCUACAAUGGUAGGUACAAUAAGACGCAAGACCGUGAGGUGGAGCAAAACUUAUAAAACCUAUCUCAGUUCGGAUUGUAGGCUGCAACUCGCCUACAUGAAGCUGGAGUUGCUAGUAAUCGCGAAUCAGAAUGUCGCGGUGAAUACGUUCCCGGGCCUUGUACACACCGCCCGUCACACCAUGAGAGCUGGUAACACCCGAAGUCCGUGAGGUAACCGUAAGGAGCCAGCGGCCGAAGGUGGGAUUAGUGAUUGGGGUGAAGUCGUAACAAGGUAGCCGUAGGAGAACCUGCGGCUGGAUCACCU